rnacentral:rRNA from 1 species
UACGUAGGUGGCAAGCGUUGUCCGGAAUAACUGGGCGUAAAGCGCAUGUAGACGGCAUGAUAAGCCAAAUGUGAAAUGUAGGGGCUCAACCCCUGCACUGCGAUUGGAACUGUCAAGCUUGAGUGCAGGAGAGGCAAAUGGAAUUCCCAGUGUAGCAGUGAAAUGCGUAGAGAUUGGGAGGAACACCAGUGGCGAAGGCGAUUUGCUGGACUGCAACUGACGUUGAGAUGCGAAAGCUAGGGGA